AGGUGUAGCUCAGCGGUUAGAGCGUCCGGCUGUGACCCGGAAGGUCGAGGGUUCGAACCCCUUCACC
rnacentral:tRNA from 1 species